AGUGGAUAUUUAGUGCGUGGUACAAACAUUUUAAUACAGAAAUACAGUUCCAUGCAUAAGCAUCUGUAUUCAGGUGUAUUGAACUAUCUUCCCAAGGUGAGAGUGUUAUGGUAAUACUGUCUAGUUGGAUGAUGCAGUGUUUAAAAUGCUACUCUUUGUGUGUAUGUGAAGUGAUGGUUUAUGUGUAGUAAUAGGUUUAUUUCAUAGGACAAAGUCAUUUUUUAAAUGAUGGUGGUGGUUUCAGUGAGGCAGCUUGAUUCUAGCAGUUACUGUAAGUUUUGUCUUCCAUGCUUAUGCUGUCACUCUCCCACUGCUACCUCGUGAACUUGAUUGUGUGUUUUUAAGGAAGAUGAGAUGCAAGUUGUGGUGGAAAAAAAGCAUGGAAGAACCCUUGCUUCCUGAAUAUGCUUUUAUUCCUGAUGCAAAGCAUCCAUUUAUUGCUGCCGUUUGUGGUCUUCAGACAGGUCAUUGAGUUCCAAAUUAGAGCAAAAAUGACUAAAACAAUGGGGCGUGCAGUUUCUCUUCAGAGCCCUUGUUUCUAUACCUUCUGCUUUUGAAAGGCAGCUGAGCUCCUUCCUGGAGACUCUGUUAUCCUUUGGGGGAGCCUGUUGCUGCACAGACCUGCGCAUGCACCCCUUGCCUCCCCUCCCAGCCUGUACCGAAGGGAUGUGGAGAGCUGAACGAAGACGAGUGAUUCUACCAAGUGGAGGAUCCAGCUGGCAGUAGCAGCCAUGUAGGACCCUUCAGGAACCUGAUGUUUCUCAGACUGAAAACUCUUAAAUUGGAUAAAGGGAGG